rnacentral:rRNA from 1 species
AUUGAACGCUGGCGGCAGGCCUAACACAUGCAAGUCGAGCGGAUGACGGGAGCUUGCUCCUUGAUUCAGCGGCGGACGGGUGAGUAAUGCCUAGGAAUCUGCCUGAUAGUGGGGGACAACGUUUCGAAAGGAACGCUAAUACCGCAUACGUCCUACGGGAGAAAGCAGGGGACCUUCGGGCCUUGCGCUAUCAGAUGAGCCUAGGUCGGAUUAGCUAGUUGGUGGGGUAAUGGCUCACCAAGGCGACGAUCCGUAACUGGUCUGAGAGGAUGAUCAGUCACACUGGAACUGAGACACGGUCCAGACUCCUACGGGAGGCAGCAGUGGGGAAUAUUGGACAAUGGGCGAAAGCCUGAUCCAGCCAUGCCGCGUGUGUGAAGAAGGUCUUCGGAUUGUAAAGCACUUUAAGUUGGGAGGAAGGGCAGUAAGUUAAUACCUUGCUGUUUUGACGUUACCGACAGAAUAAGCACCGGCUAACUCCGUGCCAGCAGCCGCUGUAAAAC